GUUUGGGCAGUAAAAACUGACUAACAUGUUUGGUCAUGUUUUGCUCAUGCGAAUGUAAGCAAGGUUAUUAAGGGGAGGACCAUUAGAAAAGUGAUGGGGAGGGUGGGAAGAAAGAAAAAAACAAUCACGAAGGGAAAACAGAAAGAAAAAAAUCCAUCUGGACUGAUUGAGUGGGGAGGUCUGGGCCCUGCAUCAAACCAUUGUAGACAUACAGUAGUUUGUCAAGAUAUGUUCUGGAAGCCAGGCAAACUUCAAACUACAAAAUACCCCACCAUGCACAAAUCCUUUGUCUCAACUUCAUUAAAUAUUAUUCAUUGUGGUUGCAUAUUUCAAUUACAAUUACUUAAUUAUACAAAACUACAAGAGUAAACUACAACAUAAACUCAUGCAGACAAAAACAUAAUACAUCGACUUCAGUUUAGUUAAUUUCCACAAUGACCUCAGUUUAGUUUCCAGACAUCAUAUCUUGAUAGACUUAGUAUGCUCAAAUUACACAAAAGUACUUGAAAAACAAAAACACAAUUAUUGUUCACAACUCUGCACAGCUGCGCUCAUUAACAAAGGUGAUAAUUAAGUACUAAAAGUUAUUUUAGUAAAACAAAACAAUCUAUAAGGUCAAGGUUGAAUGGUAAGUUUUACAUAUAUCGCACAUUAGUUCUCACAAAUCUUGAUUUCAAUAUUGUUCUAAAUACGGUUCAAU